UACAGAGGGUGCAAGCGUUUAAUCGGAAUUACUGGGCGUAAAGCGUGCGCAGACGGUUGCGCAAGUCAGAUGUGAAAGCCCCGGGCUCAACCUGGGAAUUGCAUUUGAGACUGCGUAGCUAGGGUGCGGAAGAGGGAAGCGGAAUUUCCGGUGUAGCGGUGAAAUGCGUAGAUAUUCGGAAGAACACCAGUGGCGAAGGCGGCUUUCUGGUCUGUAACUGACGCUGAGGGCGCGAAAAGUGUGGGGAGCGAACAGG
rnacentral:rRNA from 1 species